AAAAAAACACAUUUGGGAACAGCUGAACUUCCUCUUCCGGAUCACUCAUGGGAGGAGAGUGGUGUGCAGAGCGGCUUUUGUGCUCUUCCCGUGGUCGAAGCAGCAGCUGGAAGACAAACAGGAUGGCAAUAAGAGCACUCUGGACAACUUUAAAUAACAAGCAACAUUGAAAAGAGAAGAAAAUCAAGUCGGAAAUCAAAAUAUUUUCCACUUCCUGCAGAAAACCAUACAAAUCUGUUCCUCCUCCAGCAGCUGUUAGACAAAAGAGAGAAAAUCAAGAAAGAAUAAGCAGAUUAUGCAGAACUAAAGGAUGCAUUUCAUGAAAAGUAAAGGGAGAUUUUUUAUCAUUCAGCAAAAGAGGGAAACUUCUGAAAGUCUGUUGGGAGGAAAAGGUCAAUGGUAAACCCCUGUAGAACAGACAGUAAUGCAGGCCUCUCCCUGUGAGGAAGAAGACGGCUUGAAUGAAAGCACCACUAAGCAAGGCAUUGCCCAUAUUUUUGACUCCUCAAGAAUAUCAGCUGUGGAAAAGCUCCAUAGAUUUGCCUAUUGUGGGAAAAGCAUAGAUUGCAAAUCACAGCUGAUUAUGCACAAGAGGAGACGGAAAGCCACACAAAUUACCUGAAUGUGACAAAAACUAUGGUCACAAAAGCUCCUUUGUGGUUCAUGGAAGCACCUCCACACAAGAGGGAAGCCACAAAAGAGCUCCCAAUUCAGUAAAUGCUUUAGUGAGCAUGGCAACAUGGUGCUACAUCAGAUAACUCACAGGAGGGGGAAAACAUAAGACUGUGCAGAUUGUGUGAAAAACUCUCUAGAAAUUUCCAUCUCAUGAGACCAGAAAACUCACACAGAAGGAAAAAACCCUUUGAAUGUACUGAUAAUGCGAAAGUCACAAUUCCAGACUGGUGAU